rnacentral:rRNA from 1 species
GGCCAAAGAUUUAUCGGUAUAAGAUGGGCCUGCGUCUGAUUAGCUAGUUGGUAAGGUAACGGCUUACCAAGGCGACGAUCAGUAGCCGACCUGAGAGGGUGAUCGGCGGAACUGGAACUGAGAUACGGUCCAGACUCCUACGGGAGGCAGCAGUGGGGAAUCUUCCGCAAUGGGCGAAAGCCUGACGGAGCAACGCCGCGUGAGCGAAGAAGGUCUUCGGAUUGUAUUUCCCGUAAAUAAUGGGAAGGAAUGACGGUACCAUAAGAGGAAGCCCCGGCUAACUACGUGCCAGCAGCCGCGGUAAUACGUAGGGGGCGAGCGUUGUCCGGAAUUACUGGGCGUAAAGGGUGAGUAGGUGGAUUUACAAGCCUUUGGUGAAAGGCUACGGCUUAACGGAGACUGCUCUACGAAACUGGCAGACUUGAGUGCAGGAGAGGUAAGUGGAAUUCCUAGUGUAGCGGUGAAAUGCGUAGAUAUUAGGAGGAACACCAGUGGCGAAGGCGACUUACUGGACUGUAACUGACGCUGAGUCACGAAAGCGUGGGUAGCAAACAGGAUUAGAUACCCUGGUAGUCCACGCUGUAAACGAUGAGUGCUAGGUGUUGGGUAGCGAUAUUCAGUGCCGAAGUUAACACAAUAAGCACUCCGCCUGGGGAGUACGGUCGCAAGACUGAAACUCAAAGGAAUUGACGGGGACCCGCACAAGCAGCGGAGCAUGUGGUUUAAUUCGAAGCAACGCGAAGAACCUUACCAAGGUUUGACAUCCCCUUGACAGAUGCAGAGAUGUGUCCUCCCCUUCGGGGGCAAGGGAGACAGGUGGUGCAUGGUUGUCGUCAGCUCGUGUCGUGAGAUGUUGGGUUAAGUCCCGCAACGAGCGCAACCCCUACAGCUAGUUGCCAGCACAUAAAGGUGGGAACUCUAGCAGAACUGCCGUUGACAAAACGGAGGAAGGUGGGGAUGACGUCAAAUCAUCAUGCCCCUUAUGGCCUGGGCUACAAACGUAAUACAAUGGCGUAUACAAAGGGAUGCGAAAGGGCGACCUGGAGCAAAACUCACAAAGUACGUCUCAGUUCAGAUUGGAGUCUGCAACUCGACUCCAUGAAGGCGGAAUCGCUAGUAAUCGCGGAUCAGCAUGCCGCGGUGAAUACGUUCUCGGGCCU